UAUAAAUACUUAUACUGCUACAACCAAGGUCGUUGCCAUGGUUAUUGCUUCACGUGGUGGCAGACUUCCGGGUAUUCAUACUAAUUUAUGGGGGGCAAUACAAC